CAGACCCCAGAUAUGCCUCAGGGGGCAACAAAUUGCCAAACUUUUCCAAAGUGGCUGCACAAUUUUGCAAUUCCAACAAGAAUGUAUAAGGAUUCAAUUUUUCCACAUCUUCAAUGUGACAUGGCAUUGUUUAUCUUGUAUUUGAAUUUGGUGUUGCUGCUGCUGUCUUUUGUUCAGUGACUUUGAAUUAAUCCUGUAAGUCACCUUUCAGGUAUCAAGGUUGUUAAGAGAUCAGGAAAGCUGCUGAGAUCUGAAAGACAAAGUGUUGCCCUCAGAGUUCCAUGGGGUCACUAAAGGGCUGUGUCAUGAAUGGGGCCAGGGAACCUGAUGGUCACCGAAGCUGCAUGACAGAGCAACCAAUGAUCCUGAAGCUAGUGCUUGCGUGUCCCUGGACCUCAGCUUCCUUAUUCGCUUAAAGACUCUGUGGCCAAGUCUCCACAUUUUUUAAAAUUAUAUUUCUUCUUCUUC